rnacentral:rRNA from 1 species
AUUGAACGCUGGCGGAAUGCUUUACACAUGCAAGUCGAACGGGAGUAGCAAUACUCUAGUGGCGAACGGGUGAGUAAUACAUCGGAACGUACCCUGACCUGGGGGAUAACACAUCGAAAGGUGUGCUAAUACCGCAUACGUCCUGAGGGAGAAAGCGGGGGAUCGCAAGACCUCGCGCGUUUGGAGCGGCCGGUGGCGGAUUAACUAGUUGGGGGGGUAAAGGCCUACCAAGGCGACUACCCGUAGUUGGUCUGAGAGGACGACCAGCCACACUGGGACUGAGACACGGCCCAGACUCCUACGGGAGGCAGCGGUGGGGAAUUUUGGACAAUGGGGGAAACCCUGAUCCAGCGAUUCCGAGUGGGUGAAGAAGGCCUUCGGGUUGUAAAGCUCUUUCGGCAGGAACGAAACGGUGAGGGCUAAUAUCCCUUAUCAAUGACGGUACCUGAAGAAGAAGCACCGGCUAACUACGUGCCAGCAGCCGCCGUAA